UAGUAACGGCGAGCGAACAGGGAAAAGCCCAGCACUGAAUCGCGCGCCCGCUGGGACGCUGCGAAAUGUAGUGUUUGGGAGGAUCCAUUAUUCCGUGGUUUGGCGAUGCGUCCAAGUCCUUCUUGAACGGGGCCACUUACCCAUAGAGGGUGCCAGGCCCGUAGUGACCAUUGCCGGCUGCGGAAGGAUCUCUCCUUAGAGUCGGGUUGCUUGAGAGUGCAGCCCUAAGUAGGUGGUAAACUCCAUCUAAGGCUAAAUAUAACCACGAGACCGAUAGCGAACAAGUACCGUGAGGGAAAGUUGAAAAGAACUUUGAAGAGAGAGUUCAAUAGUACGUGAAACCGUUUAGGGGUAAACCUGAGAAACCCGAAAGUUCGAAAGAGGAGAUUCAGCGCGUCUCGGUGUGCGCGAGUGCCGCUUGGCGGACGGUCGUCGUUCGCGACGUUCCGCUCCUUGCGUGCGCCGCUGCAUGUCGAACGUGUGCACUUCUCCUCCAGUAGGACGUCGCGACCCGUUGGGUGUCGGUCUAAGGCUUGCGGUGGAGCCCGUGCGUCGAUCUUUGAUCGCUUCGUGCGGACCCGUGAUGUCCUGGCCGGCUGCUUGACGGUAGAACUAAGGCGCAGAGCCGCGACUUGUUCGCGCCCGACUCAGCGCAAGCGCGGCAGGUUAUUCGUUUUUCGGACUUGUGCCGAUCUCGGAGCCUGUCGGCUGUUGGCGUUGGUGUUCACGGGCAGACUCUGUACACGCCUGUCAGCGGCGCUAUAGCUUUGGGUACUUUCAGGACCCGUCUUGAAACACGGACCAAGGAGUCUAGCAUGUGCGCAAGUCAUUGGGACUAUCGAAUCCUAAAGGCGUAAUGAAAGUGAAUGUGAAAUUUAGUUUCGCAGAGGGAAGAUGGGCAGCAUAAGUUGCUUCGCACUCCCGGGGCGUCUCGUUCUCAUUGCGAGAAGAGGCGCACCUAGAGCGUACACGCUGGGA
rnacentral:rRNA from 1 species